UCUAGUAGCUGGUUCCCUCCGAAAUUUCCCUUAGGAUAGCUGCAACUUGUACAGUUUUAUCAGGUAAAGCGAAUGAUUAGAGGUAAUCGGGACGCAAUGUCCUGGUCCUAUUCUCAAACUUUAAAUGGGUAAGACGCACCGCUAGCUUAGCAGUAGCGGUGCUUUUGAAUGGAAGUUGCUAGUGGGCCAAGGCUGGUAAGCAGCGUUGGCGAUGCGGGAUGAACCGAACGUGAUGUUAAAGCGCCGGACUAUCCGCUCAUGAGAUACCACAAAAGGUGUUGGCUCAUUUAAACAGCAGGACGGUGGCCAUGGAAGUCGGAACCCGCUAAGGAGUGU
rnacentral:rRNA from 1 species